rnacentral:rRNA from 1 species
CCUACGGGAGGCAGCAGUGGGGAAUUUUGGACAAUGGGCGCAAGCCUGAUCCAGCAAUGCCGCGUGCAGGGUGAAGGCCUUCGGGUUGUAAACUGCUUUUGUACGGAACGAAACGGUCUGCCCUAAUACGGUGGGCUAAUGACGGUACCGUAAGAAUAAGCACCGGCUAACUACGUGCCAGCAGCCGCGGUAAUACGUAGGGUGCGAGCGUUAAUCGGAAUUACUGGGCGUAAAGCGUGCGCAGGCGGUUAUGUAAGACAGAUGUGAAAUCCCCGGGCUCAACCUGGGACCUGCAUUUGUGACUGCAUAGCUAGAGUACGGUAGAGGGGGAUGGAAUUCCGCGUGUAGCAGUGAAAUGCGUAGAUAUGCGGAGGAACACCGAUGGCGAAGGCAAUCCCCUGGACCUGUACUGACGCUCAUGCACGAAAGCGUGGGGAGCAAACAGGAUUAGAUACCCUGGUAGUCCACGCCCUAAACGAUGUCAACUGGUUGUUGGGUCUUCACUGACUCAGUAACGAAGCUAACGCGUGAAGUUGACCGCCUGGGGGAGGUACGGCCGCGAGGUAGUAAACGUUAAAGGUAAAGUUAGUACGGCGUGAGACGUAGCCGACGGACGACGACGAGGGAGGAGG